rnacentral:rRNA from 1 species
UACAGAGGGUGCGAGCGUUAAUCGGAGUUACUGGGCGUAAAGGGCGCGUAGGCGGCGCUGCAAGUGGGACGUGAAAUCCCCAGGCUUAACCUGGGAACUGCGUGUGAUACUGGAUGGCUUGAAUCCGGGAGAGGGAUGCGGAAUUCCAGGUGUAGCGGUGAAAUGCGUAGAUAUCUGGAGGAACACCGGUGGCGAAGGCGGCAUCCUGGACCGGUAUUGACGCUGAUGAGCGAAAGCCAGGGGAGCAAACGGG